CAUACCACCCUGUCUGCGCCCGAUCUCGUCUGAUCUCAGAAGCUAUGCAGCGUAGGGCCUGGUUAGUACUUGGAUGGGAGCCCGCCUGGGAAUACCAGGUGCUGUAANNN
rnacentral:rRNA from 1 species